rnacentral:tRNA from 1 species
GUGUAGCUCAGUGGUAGAAUAAUUGCCUAAUAUGCAGGAGGCCCUGGGUUCAAUUCCUAGCAC